rnacentral:rRNA from 1 species
UACGGGGGGAGCAAGCGUUGUUCGGAUUUACUGGGCGUAAAGGGCGCGUAGGCGGCGCAACAAGUCACUUGUGAAAUCUCCGGGCUUAACCCGGAGCGGGCAAGUGAUACUGUCGUGCUAGAGUGCGGAAGGGGCUACUGGAAUUCUCGGUGUAGCGGUGAAAUGCGUAGAUAUCGAGAGGAACACCUGCGGCGAAGGCGGGUUGCUGGGCUGACACUGACGCUGAGGCGCGAAAGCUAGGGGAGCAAACGGG